UCCCGAAGAAAGAAAAAUAGCAAUUACAGUGUUAAUAACAACAUUCUUCAAAAAAUACUGUAUUUUUUGAAGAAUGUUGUUAUUAACACUGUAAUUCUUUAGG
rnacentral:pre_miRNA from 1 species